AUUGAACGCUGGCGGCAUGCCUUACACAUGCAAGUCGAACGGCAGCGCGGACUUCGGUCUGGCGGCGAGUGGCGAACGGGUGAGUAAUACAUCGGAACGUACCCUGUUGUGGGGGAUAACUAGUCGAAAGAUUAGCUAAUACCGCAUACGACCUGAGGGUGAAAGUGGGGGACCGCAAGGCCUCACGCAGCAGGAGCGGCCGAUGUCUGAUUAGCUAGUUGGUGGGGUAAAGGCCCACCAAGGCGACGAUCAGUAGCUAGUCUGAGAGGACGAUCAGCCACACUGGGACUGAGACACGGCCCAGACUCCUACGGGAGGCAGCAGUGGGGAAUUUUGGACAAUGGGGGCAACCCUGAUCCAGCAAUGCCGCGUGCGUGAAGAAGGCCUUCGGGUUGUAAAGCACUUUUGUCCGGAAAGAAAUCGCGCUGGUUAAUACCUGGCGUGGAUGACGGUACCGGAAGAAUAAGCACCGGCUAACUACGUG
rnacentral:rRNA from 1 species